AGAGCGUCCGGGACAAGCGCUCUCUUUCGAACCUUUGGCAUCUUCAGGGAUGGACUCCUACAACUGAGGGAGACUGAGGGAGACUGAGGGAGACUGAGGGAGACUGAGGUCUUGGGCGUGAGCAAGAGAGGAAGAGCGUGCUGGAAUCGACCAGCUGCAAACCUUCUCAGAGAGGGCUCCCGCGCUCCACACCUCUCCCAGUUGUGGUUUACACCCCACUGACCUCUCUCAUCAGACCCGCGUCUCCAUCACCAGAACCCUCAGAUAACUUUUCUCAGUGCGUCUGAAAAUUCGGGGAAAGGCUCUCAAGCAGCUUACCGAACACACCACCACCAGCACCCCUCACAAACUGAGCCCAGAACAUUCCUGAAGAAAGGAUGCUGCUGGUCUCCCAGACCUUCCUGUUCAAAACCAUAAGUUGAAAACACUCUGUAAUGUGCUGCAAAAUCUUACGUUUUGGACAUCUUCAUCAAAUAGUAUGCAGCAGUAGUGGUACACAUAUCUUGGCAGUAACCAACGGUCCUUGGAUUGGAUUUAAGACAUGCUCGACAAGAGGGAAAGUAUGCUGUGUACUAGAAAACUAACUAACUGCCCAGAGCUUGGAUCUUAAAGAACCUACAAGUCACCAUUUUACUGAACCAGCACAAUGAGACAAGUGACUAAUCUACCUACGGCUCUGCUGGCACACCCAGAUGUCCUGAAACUUUCCCGAGUGUGUUCUGAGCAGCCACUUGGAAUCAGUCAGAGUCCGCCUACCAUGUGAGACCUGUCUGCCUCACCUGUAAUUGGGAUGAAGCCUCCUUAUACCAGAUAUAGGACUCCCUGAAGCAUGUCCUGCGAGGCCAGUCUAGUAGAGUUGGCCAUAAAGAAUCGCUGUGACCGAGCCUUGUAUGGUCACUGUCCUCAUUCCAAAGAUACAUGCCCAGGGGAAGGAAUGUGGCACAGCAGGGCCCAGCCAGUCUGUUCAGUGACAUCUCCAUAAGAAACCUCAAGGUCCCUCCCUUGCCCGGUCAUCAUCAGAGUCAUCAUCAUUCCUCCUGCAGCAGAUGUGAACAAACACAGACAACCACAGCCCGACCCUGUGCAGAAACGCCUGCCCCUGGCUCAGCGCCCGGUGCCAACAGAACACCUUCAGGAUUCACAGCAACGCAGAAACCAUGUCCAGGACCCCGGCCUCUGCUUGGAACGGAACGGUGUCAUGGCGGAGACAACGGCCUUUGUCUUGCUGGGUGUGAAAACAUCCGCCGUGCUGGCUCCUCCACUGCGGCAGAAUCAAGUUUAAAUGAAAAAAGUGAUUAAAGUCAGCUUUGUGCUUCUUUGGUGUGGAAGACCCCAAAACCCCAAGUAGCCGACUCCCAGGGUCCAAGGAAGGGCUCAUAGUUGGAGCAGCUUGGGCUGUAAUCCUGGCACUUGCGCCUGGCGUUGCUGCUUGCUGUUCGCUCCUGGGGGUCUGGAUAAUCUCCCUUGGCUUUACCGCACUGUCUGGCCCGCAUACAGGGCCCGGUAACAUAUACCCGCUGCUGCUAUCACACGAAACUGUGGCGUUGCCCCUGAAUGGAUGGCACCGUGCCAACUCUUCUGCCAUCCGCCCUUGCAGCUUUUUUUUUUCUUUCCUCCCGCCCUCCCCUUCUUCUCCUCCUCCCGUCGACUUGACGUUAAUUAACACACGGGUUAAUUGAUUUUAAAAGCCGAAGAAUUACAGUUAACUUUUCCCACAGGGUACAGACGCCAGCCGCUUGGCACACUCUGCCUUCCGCACUGGUGCAGGGGGGCAGGGAAAGCCCGCAGCAAAACUAGCAACUGCUGAGGGAACGUUGUCUGCUUAUUGGAGUAGAGCGAUAGAAGUCAGCGUGGCACUGCCUCAUCCUGUACAGUAUAUGGAGCCAUCAUAGAUUUUGUCAAAUAAUCAAACACAACCCCGUCUUUCCUCUUCCCUACUAGACAACCCCUUCAGAAGUUCUUCUAGAGAUGAGAUAAGCCCCUCCCAAGACCGCUUCUAUCCUCCCUAAAAUGUUUCUUUUCUAGGAAUAAGAAAAUGAUGGUGCCUUUGAGAUUUUUUUUUUUUUUUGAAUUGCUGUGUCUCAGUUUCACAAAGGAAGGGUGGGCACCCCCUACCAUAAACAGCACAAGUUCUUAAAGUUCUUCUCCGUGUCUGUUUUAUUUUGCUUCCACUCCUCUUGGCCAGAUGAGGUUAUUUUGGGUAAUGGAUUUCAGUGAGAAAGUACAAUAGUAUAAUUAAGAGCAAAACUCCUAGCCAGGCUUUGUUAUUUUGUAUGUGUGUGUGUAUCUUUGUUGCCCACCCGCUUUCCCAGAGCCUCUGUCCAAAAUAAAAGCAGUUUGCUCUUGCGGUUGGGAAGGAGUGAGGUGAGGCUGGGAACCAGUGCUCUCACCUUUUCAUGCUUGCCUUCUAUUUCAUUUUGGGUUUUUUUGUUGUUGUUGUUGUUGUUGGUUUUUUUUUUUUUUUUUUAAAAAAAAAAAAAAGAGCACACAGCAAGUGAAGCGACAAGAGGAAUCCAUUAUGCAAAUCAUGUCACUUUGCAUAAUGUCUCAUGACUGGAAUAUGCAAAUGAGCUGUAUAAUUUAUGAGUGCCAGUGUCUGUCUAAAAGUGUUUCACAUAAUUUACAAAGUGAGCUUGAGACAGAGUGGACACAGCUCCGUCCAAGUCCUUUGCCAGGAAAAGCUGCCUUUUCCAGUAAAUGCCAUUCAUGCUUUCAGCAGGAGCUGUGUAAGAGAUCCCAAGUGUUCAAGAAAGGCAAGGAACUCUCCCCUGCCUAAAAGUUUGCAAGAUACUUCAACUCUAGUGGCCCGGUUCUUAGAUUCCAGCACAACUGCUAGAUUCCAUCUGGGGAAGAAACUGGUAAAGCCAAAUGUGGCAUUUGUAUGUAGGCUUUCUUUUGGGGACGCAGGAAUAUCUGAGAGGUGUGCGCACCCUACUCUCCGUGUCUGGGUAUAGGAAGGCAGGAGAACAGGAGUUUGCAUUCCACUUGGCUUUAUGUGUUCUGUUGUAGGCAGCAUUUUAUGAACUAUAGGCUCUUAAACAUUGGACACUGAUAUACAAGGCCUAGAAUGCAGUUGUCUUAUGAAGAUAGAAGGUGACCUUAAAGAUGCCUUCAAAGGAGAACUUGCUCAAACCUAGAAUUGAGUAGUCACAUUAGGUGAUCACUCGCCAUCAGUCUUGUUAAAAAGUAUACUUUUGAGAAGAUGACUCAACUCUUUGAGAAGUUGUAACACCUUUAAUAAUCUGAUAUAACCUGGCCGUAUAUUUUCAUUAUUAUGACAAAGACCAUAGAGAUACCAGGCAAUCGUGGCAGUGCAUAUCUGAGGACCUGAUCCUUGGCAGGCAUGCCAAAAAGAUUUCCUGAUGAAGAUGAGCCCAAGUCGGCUCUGAGAGUUGAAGAGAAACCAAACAAAAACAACAGGGAAGUGAUUCUCACAGAGAAGCUCUGACCAGCAAAUAUCUACAUUCAUUUGCUAGUGUCUGAUCGCUUAGAUUGUAUGUAUUUUAUACAAUUUAGCCCAUAAUGAAAACUACAAUUAACAACUAUUAAAACACUUUCUAUAUAAGAUCUCGAAUCACUCAAAACUCACACACUGAAAUGUCAAAGUUCCGGAUGUGGUCCCAUGUGAUGCAUUUCUUCUUUUAACAAUCAUUUAAGAAAAUAACUGGGAGUCUGGAGCGGGGGGGGGGGGGAAGCUGUGGUUGGGUUGUAAUAUAUGAG
rnacentral:lncRNA from 1 species